rnacentral:pre_miRNA from 1 species
GUGCCUGAGCCUUCAUGUCUGCUCCCCCUCUCAAAUCCUUGGAACCUAGGUGUGAGUGCUGUUUCAAUGCAACACACCUAUUCAAGGAUUCAAGAGGCUGAGCCUUGU